GGAUGGAAUAAUUUUGAGAGGGGUAACCUAAUUUUACCCCCAUUUUACGAUUAGCCCCAAAGAAAAAGGGGAGAGAACCCCUAAUCCUUUUCUUCCUCUUUUCUCCCAUUCAAUUGACGACGAUAACCAUUUCUAGUGACGAAAGGCGGUGGCGGCGGCGGCGGCGGCGGCGAGACAUAGGGACAUGCAUUCAGUGUAGUUGGAGAAACCGAAGGAGAUACUCUCCACUCCUCCUUGGCUCGAGUCAAAUGGGAACAAAAUAACCCCGGUUUGCGAAGCAAAAAGGCAAAGGACGUCGAGUUCUCACCGAUAUAGCGGCGAUGAUGCUGGUUGUAAAUGUGGAAUAGUAGGAUAAGUUGACGUACAAGGUAGUCCUUUUUGGAGUAGACAUGCAGAAAUUGAAGAGCUGCUGGAAGUCCAUACUAUGAUGAAGGAAUGAGAUGCAAUAAAUCUACCACUAAUAAAUUUGGAAAGUAACAGCCUUUAAAACUUUUGCCUAACAUGCACCCCAACAGUUUCAAAAAACAGCAGACAUGACUCAGGAAUUAACUCCAAUGCAACGUUAACCAUUUGAAACUUCUAGGACCUUGAUUCUUCUUGGAUUGGAGGAGGACGUGUUACAAUUUUGUUCCAAUUAUUUCAUUUGUGUAAUGGUAUAUGUAUCAUGGUGGAGUUUUCUACUAUUACCAUACUUUUAUUCAUCAAUCCCAUUGAUUUGUGCUACUUAAAGUAAACUGGGGGUUUUGGAAAUUGGGGAUGUCAAAGACGAAUUCCCCAUGUUCAGGUUUUUAAUAAGGAAGAAAGAUGGCCAAGGAUC